AGAUCUCGAGCCUAAAGUUUUGGAUGGCAAAUUUGGCAAAACUAGAGUUUGCUGCCUUGGACCUUUCCAGGGACAACUAUUUAUCAUGGGUCCUGGAUGCCAAAAUUCAUCUACGAGCCAAUGGCCUCGGACAAACAAUUGUAGAUGAGAAUGAUGCUUCGCCUGAAGAGAAUGCGAAGGCCAUGAUCUUUCUAAGCCGCCACAUCCAUGAAGCGCUGAAGAGCGAAUAUGUGGUGGUUGAUGAACCGUUGGUUCUGUGGAAAGCUCUAGGUGAAAGAUAC
rnacentral:lncRNA from 1 species